rnacentral:lncRNA from 1 species
CCCCUAAAGGGGAACUAAAGGGGAAGAAGAAGACGUAGGGGACGCACUCAUAAGGCUUCGCCCCCCCCCUGGUUAAGCAAAAAAUACGGCCACGUUGUUGNCGGUCUUCUUCCCCUAAAGGGGAACUAAAGGGGAACCCUUGUCCCCUCUGGUUGUCUUCCCCGAAGGUGACAAGAAGGUAACCCGAAGGCGAACCCGAAGGUAACCCGAAGGCGAACCCGAAGGUAACCCAAAGGUUGUCUUCAUCCCCUUUAGUUCGUCCCCUUUAGGGGAACCAAAGGGGAAGAACUAAAGGGGAACCCCUUUAGUUCUUCCCCUAAAGGGGAUGAACUUUAGGGGAUGAACUAAAGGGAAUGACAACCUAGGGGAUAGCCGAAGGGGGAAGCCUUCCCCUUUGGGCUCCCCGAAGGGGGAAGUCCCCUUCGGGUUCCAUACCCUUUAGUUCUUCAUCCCCUAAAGGGGAACCGAAGAAGAACCCCCUUCGUCUUCUUCCCCUUUAGUUCAUCCCCGAAGGGUUUCCAAAGGGGAAGAAGAAGACGUAGGGGAUGAUGUUCCCCUUCGGGGAUGAACAAAGGGGAUAACCAUAGGGAAGGGGGAGUAACCCUUUGGUUCCCCUUUAGUUCCCCUUUAGGGGAUGACGUCAUCCCCUUUGGGUGUCUUUUUGGGUGUCUUUUUGGGUGUCUUUUUGGGUUCCCCUUUGGUUCAUCCCCUUUAGG